AACGAACGCUGGCGGCAGGCCUAACACAUGCAAGUCGAGCGCGCCUUCGGGUGAGCGGCGGACGGGUUAGUAACGCGUGGGAACGUGCCCUUCUCUACGGAAUAGCCUCUGGAAACGGAGAGUAAUACCGUAUACGCCCUUUGGGGGAAAGAUUUAUCGGAGAAGGAUCGGCCCGCGUUAGAUUAGGUAGUUGGUGGGGUAACGGCCUACCAAGCCUACGAUCUAUAGCUGGUUUUAGAGGAUGAUCAGCCACACUGGGACUGAGACACGGCCCAGACUCCUACGGGAGGCAGCAGUGGGGAAUUUUCCGCAAUGGGCGAAAGCCUGACGGAGCAACGCCGCGUGAGGGAUGAAGGCCUCUGGGCUGUAAACCUCUUUUAUCAAGGAAGAAGAUCUGACGGUUCUUAAGGGAUAAGCCACGGCUAAUUCCGUG
rnacentral:rRNA from 1 species